GCCUGGGUGGCUCAGUAGGUUAAGUGUCUGCCUUCGGCUCAGAUCAUGAUCCCAGGGCCCUGGGAUCGAUCCCCACCUCGGGCU
rnacentral:tRNA from 1 species